GUAAACGCAAGUCCAACGAGGAAAAGACGUUGCUAGUUAGCAUUGAUUUGUUUUUGAAGAGACAUAUUUUUUGGGAGCAUCUGAUGACCUAACGUGGACCAAAGACCCUAGAGGAAAUGUCCGAUAUUCAAGCUGUGCGCUCUCAAACAGCUGGCCCAAGCAGCCCACUGAUGGGGAUGAUCGACUGGCCUGGAGGCUUUCCCGGAGCCCUAAUGCACCAGGGCAUUCCCGUGCUGUUGUUGCCUCUUCAGAAAGUAGGUUUAUUUUUGGUCAAUUGCACACUAGUGUUUGAAUGAAUCAUUGGGCUACUGGUCUUUCCAUCAGA